CACAAGUGGAUCAGCAACUCAUCUGGGAAGAAUAAUUCCUGAUGAAGAAAGAUCAUAUACAUCAUAUGCUCCUCGUGAACUUUCUGAAUACAAUCAAAGACCGCUUUUGACACAAGCUUCCCUGGAACCAUCUGAAUACAAUCAGAGAUACCACCUCCUUGGCGGCGAGACCAAAUACAUGUCCACAACAGUCUCAAACCGCUAUUCUUUUGGAGGACCCUCUGUCACACGCCGCUGAAUGAAUCUCUGCACUCAUCUCGUUACCUUCAUAAAAUUAUGCUUUUAACGGGUACAUCCUGCACUCUCAAGCUUUCCUGUGCGGAUCAAGAUUUAACAAAAGAGUUGUAACUCUGCAUAAAUUCUCUUUAUUUUACUUUAUUUUUGUGUACUUGGAGUCUAGACUCCUAAAACCUGUCUAGGAGAAGAAUGCUUGAUCAACUUUUGAGAGGAUGUGGCGUACUUCUUAUGCUAAGAUUUUGCAUGCUGAUUGAUUAGUCUUGUGGGUCUGUUCUUGUCUGAAUCAAUUCCAAAGCACUACUUUCCUUCCCGUCAGGAUUAAAUCUAUCCUUUCUGUUCAAUCUGAGAUGUUCUAUCAGUUUGCUUUAUUUCCAUGUAUUUGUAAUCAGUCUUAAUUCAGGAUGGAAGUUCCAAGAGUAAAGAGUACAUUUCUAACACUUCAAGUAACAUUUUUAGCUAAUGUAUGUCGUCUUCUCUACUAUCAACGAAUAUUAUUGGUCUUUUGCAUCUCAAUCAGCAGUGAAUGAUUUUGUUCUUCCAAUGUUUGAUGGAUAGAGAAAUCUGGUUUAAGACCAAUGUUGCCGGAGGGCAUCAAAAAUAUCUUGGUGUGGCUGUUAUUUAACUGAUAUCGGGUUCUUUUAGUGCUGCAGAUCCAUACACUAGAGUUUUCAUUGCAAAAAACAGGUACUUUUCGAGAAAACUGUAGUUUUUCGUUGUUGAUGGUACCAAGAAACCAAGUUUUAUUCUUAAUAAAGUUGGAGUGGGCAGCACAAAUUAUUUAAACCAAGUUUUAUCUUAAUAAAGUUGGAGUUGCCAGCAUAAAUUAUUUGUAUCCAUUUCGUUUUGUUGCAAAUACCCUUUGAAAAUGCGUAUAGUAGAUCUCUAAAAGUAGGUUAUAUUGAGAGACUAAAAACACUUCAAUAUUUAUGGUAACAAGGGAAAAAAGAAAAGGAUGAGCGUGUAUGACUGGUGUUUUCUUGUUUGAUAUGUAUCCUAUAAUAAGCAAACGAAGUUUGACUUCGUGCUUUUUCUCCCUCUAACCUAUAUGCUACUGUUAAUUUGUGUUGACGAAACGAGUUAGAUUCAAAAGUUCACACAUUCAUUUCAAGGAAACAUUACAGAUCACAGUACAUCUUUAACAGUUCCAAAGCCUCUCUCAAAUAAUGAUUUCAGCAAUCGUCUACGGGCCUAUAAGAACAAAGGCCAUCUUUAUGGGACCACUAAAUUCCUUGCACAAGUAUCCUAUUACUGAUCAGUCUCGGGAGCUUGAGCAUCCGUAUUAGAACCAUCAAUGCCUCCAGUUGUUUGUACAGAGGCAUUCCCUGGAUACAUUUGGGGAGUAAACAUUGGUGGGGCACCACUAGUAGGCAUUCCCGCACUUCCAGAAACCGUCGGAGGAGGAGCACUUGCGGGCAUUUGAAAACCAUUUGCUUGACCAGGUGGAGGAGCCAUAUAACCUGGCGACAUGAAGACGUAAAUACAAAGUUCUAGAGAAGCAAUGAAGCACUUGCCAGAUUAAGAGCAUGUUUGGCUAAGCCUGAAAGUUUAGUCAUGUCCUCAAUAAAUAACGUUUUUAUGGGUCAAAGUUGAAAAUAAGUUACUUAUAUUGACAGUUAAGCAAGAGUUACUUUCAAAAUUAACUUACUUUUUUAAAAAGGAAAGUACUGUAUUCACACAUAAUUGGAUAUAAAAGGUAUUUCAGAGUAACAUUUACUUCUUUUGAGCUUUAGCCAAACAACGUCUCAGAGAAAUCUAUUGGCUAACACCUCCAUUUCUUAGCACCUGAUAUUCCCUCCCCAAACCCAUUGAUAAGCAUACAACAAUCCCUACACUGAUUCAAGUCCCUGAUCUUGCAGUGUUUUGCGUUCUUGAUUCUAAGAUACGUAGAUUAUCUAGAAGACAAAAACUCAUAUAAAUGCCAACUUCCUGGGACAUAUGCUUCGAUCAAAUAUCAGCUGAGCAUAAGCAAGAAAAGAUGAAAAAUUUAAGGGGAAAAAGGCUGGGAUCACAUUAAAACAUUUCACAUACCAGGAGCUCCAAGCAUGGGCCUUGGCAAAACUGGAGGCCUAAAACCUGGAAACUGAGCCCCUGGAAUCGGCAUUGGAGUAGGUAGAAUUGGUAGACCAGGUCUCAUCUGAGGGUAUGGAGCAACAGGAGGCCUAAAUGCCCCAAGAUGCUCCUUGACCUUUUGAUCAAUCAAACUUUGGUUCAAUUGUGCCUCAUAUUGUUGAUAAUAAGUACGCACAUUUGCCUGCUCGAAAUGUAUAAAAUGACUUUUACAUAAACCUUCAAGCAAGAAAUAAGACGAAGUUGGGGGCGGGUUGAAGUUAAAGUGAGAAUACCUUAUGUUUGUAUCCCGCGUUAUGUUGUUUUCUAACAGAAGGCUGUACACCCAAAAAAUUUCAAAAAAUAAGCAAUUAUGAAAGUGAAAGACUUUAAAAAACAUCAAAUAUCAGAUAAAUGAUAAAAAUGUGAGAAAUAACCCAGAUAGUUCUUUGAAAAAGUAAUCUCACAAUGACUAAAUAAUCAAGAGGAGAAAGAAAAGGAAUAAAAUUAAGACAUUUACAUUUUCAGAAGCAAUAAUAACAGAAAAUUAAUAGAGAAGAUUUUUGAAUGUGACAAAAAAUUAAGCAUUAUUGGACCUAUAGCAUCACUAUCUUCUUUCUUUUUCCAUGGAUAAAUUUCAAGUUUUCGCAAAAAACUUAAUGAAAAAAUAUAAACAAUUACAGAAGAAGGAUGAUGACUCACGGAAUCGUGUGUCAAGUAGGUGUCACAAUAAUCACAAUAAUACCUGAAGACAUAAACAAAUACAUCAAAGAUUGAAAUUCGAUGACUCUAAAUUCAGAUAUAUUAUAAAAAGAAUAAGAAAAGAGAAAGAUAUACCUGGGCAUUAUGUGUUACGAAGAACUUCUUUAACAAUCUGUGAAACAGCGGGGCACCAAAAAAAUAAAAAUAAAAAUAAAAAUCAUACACCAAAAGAACGAACAAAACCCUAGAUCGCAUAAAUAUUAACAUAUCAAUAAAUAUUUACAAAAAUGCUCAGUCUUUACACACUAAAUCAAAAUUUACAUCACUACAGACAUAAAAUAGAAAAAUAAUACAUUAAUCACAAGGUAUUCUUCUACCCAAAGCUAAUGAACUGUCAAAAUUCUAUCCUCUGCAUAAGGAAAUGAUGGAUUCCAACAGAUUACCUAAGAUUAGCAACAAAAAAUUCAUUGAUUCAACACUAUUACUCCUCGUGGAACAUUUUUUCAGCCAAAUCCACAUAACAUAUUCUAUUCAAAGCUAGCACAAUGUAAAAUUCCAUAUAGAACAAUGAAAAUUAGAAACGAAUCCAAGAGUUGCAAUAAGCAUAGCCCAACCAAGUACCCAGUUUAAAAAAUAAAAAAAAUAAAAAAAAAUAGUCUUCUUCUACCUUUGGAUGAAUUUCAAUACGCAAGACGACGUACUCAAAUGGGAAAAAAACCAUAAAGCCUACUCCACUGACACUUAUUAUAUUGCUCUCAAGCACGCCAACCUAAAAUUAUUCAUUGGGAGAAGAUUUGGUUAGGGUUAAAUUUGGGACUAUUUAAUUUAUAACUGUGACUUUAUUGUAUCAAAUCCAUGUAUGAGCCACAUUCUAUCUAAAAAAUAUAUUAUUCAUGUUAAAUCAAUGAGAAAUAUAUGAUUAUAAAUAAGAAAAAAAUUUAGAUUUAAAGCAUCAUUACAAUUACAACACUACUAACUUAAUCCCAAUUUAGAAACAAUCGAAAACAUGAAAACAAUCCAUUUUUUUCCGAGAAUAACAACAGAUAUACCCUUUUGCGCAUACGGUGGACAAAAUCAUCAAACCGAAAUAAACAAACUCAAGGAGAAAAACCCGACGUACCAUCAGAACUUAAAAAAAUCAAAUAUUUUCUCACAUACAUGGGCUCUAUGGUUUAUAGAAAUGGAAAAAUCCAAUCUACAGUAUAUGACGAAAUAACGGAAUUUCUGCAUUUACCCAUUAGAAUUUGUGGGUGAAGAUGGAGCCAUUUUAGAGGAUGAUCACCUUGGCUGGUGAGGAAGUCAUAACAGAACGAGGGUGCGGUGGAGUAUAAUAACUGCAGCUGAACUCUCUUUAUUUUUGAGAGAAUUGUAAUCUGUUUAGAGUUCCUCGUCUACUAAUAUUUCUAACAAAAUAUAACACACUUCUAAAAUUCAUGAGAGAUGAAUUGUGCGUCACCUACUCCCAGGGCCGGUCAUGUGAUUGUCGGGGUCCGAGGCGAAGUCCAAAAAUUAGGCCCUCCAAAAUGAACGUAAAUGCAAAAUUCGACGAUAUAUUAUGCAACACAUUAUUAACUUAAAACUUAAAAUUAAAACAACAAACAAAUAUCUUAAUCAUCUCAAAAUUAAUGAAAAAACUAUUUUCUUUCUUUCAAUAUAAAAAAUAUAAAAAAUAAAAACUUUGGGCCAAAAUAGACCCUUUGUGGGUUUGGACUUGAGGCACGGGCCUCAUUUGUCUGUGCCCAGGACCGGCUCUGCCUACUCCCCUAAUCAGGUCGACAAAUUCGAAACAAUCAGUACACACGUAUGUUUAUUGGUGGAAUGUCAGAUGAUAAUGUAUAUGAUAAUAUUAUAAGUACACAUUUCAAUAAUAUUAGCUAUUAUUUCACUAUUGAAGAUUCGCCUUGCCAUAUGGGAAGAGGAGUACGUUUGGUUAGGUUUGGACGCAAUUUGAUUUGGAUCUAUUUCGACUCCAAUCCAAAAUAAAACUAAAUUAAUCGAUUUGAACGAAUUUCAACCCAAGUUAAACCACUCUAGCUCUUAAAAUCAAAUUGAAUGAAACUAAAUCGGUUUAGUUAAUCGGUUUGGACUUUUAAUUCAAAUUUUAUUUUUUAAAAAUUAAUUGUCUUAAUUUUGAGCAUACUUAGAUUACAAGAACUAAAAUAACCAAAUAAGUUUAUAUUACGAUAACUAAUAACUAAUAAAUAAAAUCAGGUUAAUAGAAUCGGAUCAACGGAAAACUUAAGAAUUUUGUUGAUUUUUUUAUAUAUUAUAUAAUUUAACUGUCUGAGUAAAAAAAAAUGUUAAGCAUAACAUAAUGAGCAUGUGAAAAAAAAUUCACAAUGCUAUUAUUUACCGACAAUAUCAUAUAUUGAAGGAAUCGAAAUAUAAUUACAAGAUUAGGGCUCAUCUUUUGAUUUUUAUUUUUCUGAAAUUAAAAAUAAAAAUACACGUGUAAGUGGGUUGGAUUAAUUUGAUUAACCAACAGUUUGAGACUUCAAACCAUAAUUGAACCGACUACCAUGAUUUUGUUCAAAAGAAAAGAAAAUCAAACCAAACUAAUUAUCUAUGUCGAACCGACCCGUGUUGGUUCGAGUUGGUUGGUUUUAUCGAUUUUUUCGUCUAGGCAUAUGUUCGAUACAGGACAUGGCACAGAGAAUGAUUGAUUUUGAAUUCGAUUCGGGGUCUUGUACAUGCUUUAAUUCAUCUGUUAGUGUUUCGUAUGUAAAUUGAUACAAUAACAAGUCUAUAUAAUAAGAGUAUUUUGUGAAAUUUAUGAAAUCAUUGGCCAUAAUCGUCAUCCAUCAAAAACAUUUAAUCAGUUUUUAUGUCUAGUUGUUUAUUUGAAAGAGACAAAAAUUGCAUGAGGAUUAGUAUAUAAUUAUAUAUGUUUCUUGUUUUAGCUAUUGAAGUUAUAAUUUCCGACAUAUAUAUUUCAAGAGGUGACACAUUUUCUUCGAAAUGGCACGAAUUUAUUCUCUCUUGCUUGCCACCAGUAUUAGUACUUUGUCUUUCAUUUAAAAUAAAUUCGCAACUAGAACUAAGAAUUCAGUCAUAAUAAUAAUUUAUUAAAAGACUGGAUAGAUAGAUAAAUGGAAGCAGCGUAGCAUCGAUGGGCAUUUGGUCUAGUGGUAUGAUUCUCGCUUUGGGUGCGAGAGGUCCCGAGUUCGAUUCUCGGAAUGCCCCUUUUUCAUGUUGUGAUGAAUGAAAAUUACUUAACCCUUGUUUGAUUACUAUUAUUGAGGGAAAAAAAUGAUUUUAAAGAAUAAUGCUUCUUAUAUAUAAUCAGUUAAGAGAUGAGUAGUCAAAAGAGGAAUGAAAGUUUUUAUUUUUCUAUUUGAUUGAAAAAAUUCUAGUCCAAUCAUGUCUCACAAUAUCAUGUGUAUGUAUACCAUUAUGUAAUCCUAUUAUUUAUAUGUAAUACAAUCAUAUUUUAAAUAUUGAUUUUUUGUAGAAUGUGUUGUUAAAAAGUAGGAAAAAAUUUUGAGUUUCUCUUUUCUUUUUUUUUCUUUUUUUUUUUUAAAUAUGUCAUUGAAAAUAAAUAUGAGAAUCAAAGAGAUUUUUUUUAAAAAAAAAAAAACGAAAAACAAAUAGGGAAUAUUCAAAAAUGAAUUUCAUAAUUAUGUUUAGAAGUAAAAGCGUUACUUUUUUAAACCCGUGGUUUCCUUUUAUAUUUUUCCUUUUUUUUAAAAAACUCAAGAUUGCUUCAAUUGCACAUAAAAAGUAAAAAGGUACUUAAAACACGAAUGAACUAUAUAUAUGCUAAGAAAGCAUAAUAACUUGUUUCGUAUGUGAAGUUUAAUCCUUUUUUCAUGUACCUCGUUUAUGGUUUCUAUUCUAAUUUGACAGUUGUGAAAAAAUAAUGAUAAUUUAAAGAAUAAUGCUACUUGUAUAUACUCAUUUAAUAGAUGAGGUGCCCAAAGAAGAAUGAAAUUUUUUUUCUAUUUGUGUGAAAAAAUUCUAGUCCAAUCACGUCUCACAAUAUCAUGUGUAUGUAUACCAUUAUAUAAUCCUAUUAUAUAUAUGUAAUACAAUCAAAUUUUAGAUAUUGAUUUUUCUUGAAUGUAUUGUUAAAAAGUAGGGAUUUUUUUUUUUUUUUUUGGAAAAUAUGUGAUUGAAAAUGAAUAUGAGAAUUAAAGACAUUUUUUAAAGGAAAACAAAUAAGGAAUAUUCAAAAAUGAAUUUCAUAAUUAUGUUUAGAAGUAAAAAGACUACUUUUUUAAAGCCGCGGUUCCCUUGUAUAUUUUUCCUUUUUCUUUAAAAAAAAAAAGCCUCGAGAUUGCUUCAAUUGCACAUAAAAAGUAAAAAGGUACUUAAAACAUGAACGAACUAUAUAUAUGCUAAGAAAGCCCCAUAACUUCGUUCGUAUGGGAAGUUUAAUCCUUUUUCUCUGUACCUCAUUUAUGGUUUCUAUUUUGAUUUGACGGGUUUAACUUGAUAGCGCCUUUAAAGGUGAAAUUUAAUUGCACGGGCUGUGCUACAGCAAGAAUGAUCCAUCUCACCUAAGGAGGCGGUAAGCUUGUACAAGUCGAAUAACCUAAAUUUCAUAGGCAAUAUAUUUGCGUGUAUUGAUGGGUACAAAAAAAUUAAAAAAAAAAAAAUAUGUAUAUAUAUAUAUAUAUUUUCCUUCACAUCAAAUCUAUUGUUUUUUAAUUUGGGCCCAAUAUGUAUCUUUACACUUCUCAUCCCAGCCCGCACAGAAACAUCGUCUUCCUCGAUUCACCGAAAUCAAUUUGCUGAAAUCUGCGCCAAUUAUCUCUUGCUAAUAUCAAAUCUCUCUUUCGAUCUACUUGACCAAGCAUCAAUUCGAGGUCAUUUGUACAACUUUUACUCAAUUAUUAUUAUUAUUAUUAUUAUUAUUAUUAUUAUUAUUAUUAUUAUUAUUAUUAUUGUAUUUGCAAUUAAUGGUUAUUUGGGGCCGAAUAAUAGUUUUUUGUGAUUUUUAUGUUGUCUUUUCUGUAAUCUCCGGUUGUUUCAGUUUUGUCGGGUGAUUUUCUUGUCUAACUCAAUAUAGUACUUAAUUUUGGGAAGGAAUGGAAAUAGGUUUUGAAAUUAGCUAUUACUGACUAAAGAGCAAAGUUUUUUUUUUUUUUUUUCCGAGUAUGUUUUUCAUUUGCUUAUGAUUCCUUUCUGUAAAAUGAAGAUAAUGGGAGUAGAAAAUUUCGUAGAUAUUGAAUUCCGUUUCCGCUCCCUGUCGAUUGAAUAUGAACUGAAGACAAUAAAAAUCAGAUGUAAAUCCUAGCUACCAUAUGUGAUGCACAAGCGAAGUUAUAGAGAGGCGUUGAAUUAAACCAAUUUAAAAGGGAAAGGGGAAAAAUGAAAGGUUGGAGUAUCUCGCUGUCACAAUGUACUAGAAAAUUAUAUUACAUUUGAUUUCUGGUACUUGAUACCAUUUUCAUAAGUGUAAAAUUAUUGUCUUGUUGGUGUUUCAAACACUCGGCGAUUGUUCUUCUCAUUUCCAAAUGGCUGGACUAGAAAAGAAACGAGUCAACUUUUAGUCUUCUGAAACAAUUGGAUGCUUGGUAAUACUCGACGAGAAAGAAACAUUUCGUUUAGCUGCAAAAGGCUUUCAUUUCCCCUCUUAUGUAUUGUGCUGGGUAUUUUUUUUUGGAACCCUUACCUUUAUGACUUCUGUAUUGCUGUUGCUUAAUGUAAGAAUGCUCUUUGUGAUUUAGAAUUGAAUUCAUGUUCCAAAUGCAAACAAUUGUCACUUGUGAGGUAUUUGCACUAUUUCAUCUGACUUUGAGAAGAGGCUUGGUUAGCAGAAAAGGAUAUGGCACGCACAAGACAGAGGAAGAAAGUUCGUGUUGCUGCUGAAUCUACUUCUAGAGAGGUGGUUUUGAACAACAAAAUGCCGAAUAACAAGAAAAAAGGUGGCAAAGCCACCAAAUCUAAACAAAUAGUGUCUAACAAAAAACCAUUGGAAGACGAGAGAAAAGGUGGAAUUGCUGUGGGAUCUACUUCAGUAUCAGUAGUUUCUGAUGAGAAGGCUCCCAGGGCUCUUGAGCCCAAUCCUCAGAUUGCAGGCAAAUGUCCAAUUCCAAAUUCUGCCCCAGGCGAAGAAGCAAAAACCAUUUCAGAGGUUCAAGCCAUAAAAGGCAAUAAAAGGAAGAGAACAAAUGAAGGAGUAGAAGAAAAUAAUAGUAAUAAAAAAGAUGGAACAAAUGAUGCAAGUUCACCUCAUGGGAAAGAGAAAAGGGGUAUUUUAAAUGAGAAAAAUGAAGAUGAGAAGCCCGGGAAAAAUCUUGGUGGACUGAUUUUUAUGUGUAAUACCAAAACUAAACCAGAUUGUUUCCGUUACCAUGUGAUGGGUAUCUCAGCAAGCCGGAAAGAGUUUGUAAUGGGCAUAAAGCCUGGUCUUAAGCUUUUCCUCUAUGAUUUUGAUCUCAAGCUCCUGUAUGGAAUCUAUGAAGCAUCUUCUUCUGGUGGCAUGAAACUUGAACCAGCUGCAUUUGGGGGGGCCUUCCCUGCUCAGGUUGCUAUCUCUAGAUGCCUUAACUCUGUUUUAUAUCCAUUUAACCUGAGGAUAUUUUUAUAAUUAUAGUUUUUCAUUCAACAGGUCCGCUUCGCUGUUCAUAGGGAUUGCCUUCCGCUGCCUGAGAAUAUAUUUAAGAAAGCAAUCAAAGACAAUUAUGAUGAAAGGACUCGCAAGUUCAAGACAGAGUUAACCUCGUCCCAAGUAAGAAGAUAACCUUUUCUUUUCAUUCAUCAGUAGUUUUAUAUUUUCAAAAUGUGUAUUUGUGGAAUUCUAACUACAAAUAUUCCCAACCGCUGUUUCUCUUCCUUGCAGGUAAAGCACCUGUCAAGUUUAUUCCAGCCAACCCCAAAGUUGCAUUCAAAUGGUAAGUCUUUGGUUCGGGGAUCGGAAUUUGUGCAUGUUCCUGCUCCAGCACCAAAAGUCUUGCCAACAGCAAUUUUGCACACUGAGGAGAACUUCAGACAUCAUGGCAGUAUUAAACCAGGAGAAGACAUUAUCUGGGUUGAUAAAGAGAGGAAAUUCUCUGAGCACCAUGUCUCUUCCACUGAUGUUCCUUCACAGGGUCCACUUUUUCUCACAGAGCAAGAAUACAGAAAUUAUGGUCUUCGACAGGGAAGUGAUCUGUUGCCAACCGCUGUAGGUGGUACCGUUGCCGUUGCCCGUGCACGGGAGCCUAGAAAUCUUGAACAAGAGAAGGAUCAGCUUCUAAGGAACCCUGCUUCUACAUAUAACAAUGUAACUUUACAACAGAGAGAGGUCAGUCGACCUGAUACUUUUUUUCUCAGUGAAAAAGAGUACCGCACUUAUGGGCUCAGAGGUCCCCGUGAAAUGCAGACUGAGGUGUCUCCUAUGGUAAGUACUAAUCAAGCUGUUGAAGUGGCAUAUAAUCUUUAUAAUGAAAGCACCACAUCAUUGGUAAAUCGAUAUCUUUCGCUGCCACCAACGACAACAACACCACCUGCCAGAUUACAUCCUCCUAGAAAUUAUCUAAACUCCACAAGUGGAUCAGCAACUCAUCUGGGAAGAAUAAUUCCUGAUGAAGAAAGAUCAUAUACAUCAUAUGCUCCUCGUGAACUUUCUGAAUACAAUCAAAGACCGCUUUUGACACAAGCUUCCCUGGAACCAUCUGAAUACAAUCAGAGAUACCACCUCCUUGGCGGCGAGACCAAAUCCAUGUCCACAACAGUCUCAAACCGCUAUUCUUUUGGAGGACCCUCUGUCACACGCCGCUGAAUGAAUCUCUGCACUC
rnacentral:lncRNA from 1 species